UUUUUUUUUUUUUUUAAAUUUUAUUUUCCCACUGUACAGCAAGGGGGUCAGGUUAUCCUUAGAUGUAUACAUUGCAGUUACAGUUUUUUCCCCACCCUUUCUUCUGUUCCGACAUGAGUAUCUAGACAUAGUUCUCAAUGCUAUUCAGCAGGAUCUCCUUGUAAAUCUAUUCUAGAUUGUGUCUGAUAAGCCCAAGCUCCCGAUCCCUCCCUCUUCUCCAGCUUCCAUUGGCUGCAGCAUUCUUUGGCUCAUGGUUCCUUCCUCCAUCUUAAAAGUCAGCAGUAAAGCAUCUUUAAACCUCUCUCUGAUCAUCCUGUCUCCAUCUUUCACUAAUAAGAACACUUGUGAUUAUAUUGAGAUACACCUAGGGAAUCAAGAUAAAGUGGGUAAACUCCCCAUCCUUUUUUUUCCCCUGAUAAUUGAAAUGUAAGUUUUACUAUAUUUAUAAAUGUAUUUGCCUGACUUUUUUUUUUUUUUUUUUGGUCUUUUGUCUUUUGUUGUUGUUGUUGUUGUUGUUAUUGUUGCUAUUUCUUGGGCCGAUCCCGCGGCAUAUGGAGGUUCCCAGGCUAGGGGUUGAAUCAGAGCUGUAGCCACCGGCCUACGCCAGAGCCACAGCAACGCAGGAUCCGAGCCGUGUCUGCAACCUACACCACAGCUCACGGCAACGCCGGAUCGUUAACCCACUGAGCAAGAGCAGGGACCGAACCCGCAACCUCAUGGUUCCUAGUCGGAUUCAUUAACCACUGCGCCACGACGGGAACUCCCUGCCUGACUUUUUAACUCAAUAAAUUUUAUUACAUUUAUAGUUGUACAAUGAUCAUCACAACCCAAUAUUAUAGCAUUUCCAUCCCUAAUCCCCAGCCCAUCCUCCCAACUCUCCACCCUGUCUCCUUUGGAAACAUAAAUUUUUCAAAGUCUGUGAGUAAGGAUCUGUUCAGCAAAGAAGUUCGUUGUAUCCUUUUUUUUAGAUUCCACAUAUAAGUGAUAGCAUAUGAUGUUGGUGUCUCCUGUAUGACUAACUUCACUUAGCCUGAUAAUUUCUAGGUCCAUCCAUGUUGCUGCAGAUGCCAUUAUUUCGCUCCUUUUCAUGGGUAAGUAAUAUUCCAUUGUGUAUAUGUACCACAUCUUCUUUAUCCAUGCCUCUAUCAAUGGACAUUUAGGUUGCUUCCAUGUCUUGGCUAUUGCAUAGAGUGCUGCAAUGAAUAUUGGAGUACAUGUAUAUUUUUGAGUCAUGGUUUUCUCUGGAUAGCUGUCCAGGAGUGGGAUUGCUGGAUCAAAUGGUAGUUCUAUUUUUAGUUUUUUUGAGAAAUCUCCAUACUGUUUUCCAUAGUGGUCACACCAAUUUACAUUCCCACCAACAGUUUAAGAGGGAUCCCUUUUCUCUAAACCCUCUCUAGUAUUUAUUGUUUGUAGACUUUUUGAUGAUGGCCAUUCCGGCUGGUAUAAGGUGGUACUUCAUAGUAGUUUUGAUUUGCAUUUCUCUAAUAACUAGUGAUGUUGAACAUCUUUUCAUGUGGUUUUUGGACAUCUGUAUGUCUUCUUUGAGAAUUUUCUGUUUAGAUCUCCUGCCCAUUUUUGAUGGGGUGGUUUGGUUUCUGCAGGAGGUGUUUAUAAAUUUCGCAGAUUAAUCCCUUGUAAGUAGCUUCAUUUGCAAAUAUUUUCUCCCAUUCUGUGUCUCUUCAUUUUGUUUUUGGUUUCCAUCCUUAAUUAUAAUUAAAUUAAGGACCCUACUUCAAUCAGUCUGCAAUAUUCCUUUCGCCAUGUGAGAUAACAUGUUCUUAGGUUUCAGGGAUUAGGACAUAGACAUUUAGGAGGGAGGGUGCAUUUUUUACCUAACACUGAUGGCUCAAAUUUUUUUAAUUGACAUUGUGUUAGUUUCAGGUGUACAAUGUAAAUGACAUAAGUGCAUGUUGCAAAACAUCUAGCACGUCACAUCACAAAUUUUUUUCUUGCAAUGACAACUGUUAAGAUCUAUCAUCUUAGCACCUUUCAAGUUUACAAUAGAGUAUUGUUAACUGUGGUCACCAGGCUGUACUUUACACACCCAGAACUUAUUUAUCAUAUAAUCAGAAGUAUCUUUUUACUGCCUUCAUCCAUUUCACUCAUCCUCCAUCUCCAUCUCUGGCAGCCACCAAUCUGGUCUCUGCAGUUAUGAGUUCAGGUUUUUUUUUAGAUUCCAUAUAUAUAUAUAGUUUUUUUAGAUCAUGAGUAUUUUUCUUUCUCUGUCUGAUUUAUUUCACUUAACAUAAUGCCUUCAAGGUCCAUCCAUGUUUUUGCAAAUGGCAAGAUUUCCUUCUUUUUAUGACCACAUAAUAUUACAUGGUACAUAGCCAGUGACUCUUGAGAGCCUGGAGAAAAUAAUGGCCCAUGUGGAUAGAAAUAGAAAUGCCUAAGUUUUCCUGGAAAAUGAUAGAGAAAAUUAAAAUGUUCAGAUAGAUGGCAUGCUAGAUGGCGAGACGGUGAGUCUGAAAGACUCCCCAGACAAGGCCUCAGAGUACACACCAUAAGGAACGUAC
rnacentral:lncRNA from 1 species